rnacentral:lncRNA from 1 species
AAAAGCCUUAAGGUCUUUAGUUAUCAAAAGGAGAAAACUCAACCUGAAAAACCACAAGUCCACCAUGUGAGGAUAGCUUCAACAUGCUAGUGAGGGGUUAACCCUAUAAUAAGCAUGGAAGACUCAUUGUCCAUCACUAAGGACCAAGGUGAGUAUUAUAUCUACCACAAGGAUAACUCAAACCUAAUAGCUAAAGAUUAUGAAAAAUUUGAUUAAG